rnacentral:tRNA from 1 species
GCCCUUGUAGUUUAACGGAAAAACGUAACCCUGCGGAGGUUAAGAUCCAGGUUCGAUUCCUGGCGAGGGCA